rnacentral:rRNA from 1 species
GAUGAACGCUGGCGGCGUGCUUAACACAUGCAAGUCGAACGGGAUCCCAGGAGCUUGCUCCUGGGUGAGAGUGGCGAACGGGUGAGUAAUGCGUGACCGACCUGCCCCAUACACCGGAAUAGCUCCUGGAAACGGGUGGUAAUGCCGGAUGCUCCAGUUGGAUGCAUGUCCUUCUGGGAAAGAUUCUAUCGGUAUGGGAUGGGGUCGCGUCCUAUCAGCUUGAUGGCGGGGUAACGGCCCACCAUGGCUUCGACGGGUAGCCGGCCUGAGAGGGCGACCGGCCACAUUGGGACUGAGAUACGGCCCAGACUCCUACGGGAGGCAGCAGUGGGGAAUAUUGCACAAUGGGCGCAAGCCUGAUGCAGCGACGCCGCGUGCGGGAUGACGGCCUUCGGGUUGUAAACCGCUUUUGACUGGGAGCAAGCCCUUCGGGGUGAGUGUACCUUUCGAAUAAGCACCGG